rnacentral:rRNA from 1 species
CCCAGACUCCUACGGGAGGCAGCAGUGAGGAAUAUUGGUCAAUGGUCGGGAGACUGAACCAGCCAAGCCGCGUGAGGGAUGGAGGUACAGAGUAUCGUAAACCUCUUUUGUCAGGGAACAAAGGCGGGGACGUGUCCCCGGAUGAGUGUACCUGAAGAAAAAGCAUCGGCUAACUCCGUGCCAGCAGCCGCGGUAAUACGGAGGAUGCGAGCGUUAUCCGGAUUUAUUGGGUUUAAAGGGUGCGUAGGCGGACGCUUAAGUCAGCGGUAAAAUUGCGGGGCUCAACCUCGUCGAGCCGUUGAAACUGGCAGUCUCGAGUUGGAGAGAAGUAUGCGGAAUGCGCGGUGUAGCGGUGAAAUGCAUAGAUAUCGCGCAGAACUCCGAUUGCGAAGGCAGCAUGCCGGCUCCACACUGACGCUGAGGCACGAAAGCGUGGGUAUCGAACAGGAUUAGAUACCCGUGUACC